rnacentral:rRNA from 1 species
GACGAACGCUGGCGGCGUGCCUAAUACAUGCAAGUCGAACGAGAGCACCCGGUGCUUGCACUGGUCAAUCUAGUGGCGAACGGGUGAGUAACACGUGGGUAACCUGCCCAUCAGAGGGGGAUAACAUCCGGAAACGGAUGCUAAAACCGCAUAGGUCUUCGAACCGCAUGGUUUGAAGAGGAAAAGAGGCGCAAGCUUCUGCUGGUGGAUGGACCCGCGGUGCAUUAGCUAGUUGGUGAGGUAACGGCUCACCAAGGCCGUGAUGCAUAGCCGACCUGAGAGGGUGAGCGGCCACAUUGGGACUGAGACACGGCCCAAACUCCUACGGGAGGCAGCAGUAGGGAAUCUUCCGCAAUGGACGCAAGUCUGACGGAGCAACGCCGCGUGAGUGAAGAAGGUUUUCGGAUCGUAAAACUCUGUUGUUAGAGAAGAACAAGUGCUAGAGUAACUGUUAGCGCCUUGACGGUAUCUAACCAGAAAGCCACGGCUAACUACGUG